UACGAAGGGUGCAAGCGUUACUCGGAAUUACUGGGCGUAAAGCGUGCGUAGGUGGUUUGUUAAGUCUGCUGUGAAAGCCCCCGGCUCAACUGGGGAGUGUCGUGCGAUACGGUCGAACUGGAGGCCAGUAGGGGGAUGCGGAAUUCCGGGUGAGUGGUGGAAUGCGUAGAGAGUCCGGAGGAACACCAGCGGCGAAGGCGGCAUCCGUGGAC
rnacentral:rRNA from 1 species